CAGCCGUAAACUAUGCGCGUUAGGUGUACUGGUGACCACGAGUCACCGGGGUGCCGAAGGGAAACCGUGAAACGUGCCGCCUGGGAAGUACGGUCGCAAGGCUGAAACUUAAAGGAAUUGGCGGGGGAGCACCAACAACGGGUGGAGCCUGCGGUUUAAUUGGACUCAACGCCGGAAAUCUCACCGGAUAGGACAGACAUAUGAUAGUCGGGCUGAAGACUCUACUUGAUGAUCUGAGAGGAGGUGCAUGGCGUCAGUGACU
rnacentral:rRNA from 1 species